rnacentral:rRNA from 1 species
AGUGAACGCUGGCGGUAGGCCUAACACAUGCAAGUCGAACGGCAGCACAGUAAGAGCUUGCUCUUACGGGUGGCGAGUGGCGGACGGGUGAGGAAUACAUCGGAAUCUACUUUUUCGUGGGGGAUAACGUAGGGAAACUUACGCUAAUACCGCAUACGACCUACGGGUGAAAGUAGGGGAUCUUCGGACCUUGCGCGAUUGAAUGAGCCGAUGUCGGAUUAGCUAGUUGGCGGGGUAAAGGCCCACCAAGGCGACGAUCCGUAGCUGGUCUGAGAGGAUGAUCAGCCACACUGGAACUGAGACACGGUCCAGACUCCGACGGGAGGCAGCAGUGGGGAAUAUUGGACAAUGGGCGCAAGCCUGAUCCAGCCAUACCGCGUGGGUGAAGAAGGCCUUCGGGUUGUAAAGCCCUUUUGUUGGGAAAGAAAAGCAGCAGGUUAAUACCCCGCUGUUCUGACGGUACCCAAAGAAUAAGCACCGGCUAACUUCGUG